rnacentral:rRNA from 1 species
GACGAACGCUGGCGGCGUGCCUAAUACAUGCGAGUCGAACGCACGGUUUAUACCGUAGCUUGCUACACCAUAGACUGUGAGUUGCGAACGGGUGAGUAACGCGUAGGUAACCUGCCUGGUAGCGGGGGAUAACUAUUGGAAACGAUAGCUAAUACCGCAUAAUAUUAAUUAUUGCAUGAUAAUUAAUUGAAAGGUGCAAUUGCACCACUACCAGAUGGACCUGCGUUGUAUUAGCUAGUAGGUGAGGUAACGGCUCACCUAGGCGACGAUACAUAGCCGACCUGAGAGGGUGAUCGGCCACACUGGGACUGAGACACGGCCCAGACUCCUACGGGAGGCAGCAGUAGGGAAUCUUCGGCAAUGGACGAAAGUCUGACCGAGCAACGCCGCGUGAGUGAAGAAGGGUUUCGGAUCGUAAAGCUCUGUUGUAAGAGAAGAACGGGUGUGAGAGUGGAAAGUUCACACUGUGACGGUAGCUUACCAGAAAGGGACGGCUAACUACGUG